CCUACGGGAGGCAGCAGUGGGGGAUAUUGCACAAUGGGGGAAACCCUGAUGCAGCGAUGCCGCGUGAGUGAAGACGGCCUUCGGGUUGUAAAGCUCUGUCGCAGAGGACGAAAAUGACGGUACUCGGUAAGAAAGCUCCGGCUAACUACGUGCCAGCAGCCGCGGUACUACGUAGGGAGCAAGCGGUGGCCGGAAUUACGGGGUGAGAAGGGAGCGGAGGCGGGAGGAUACGUUGAAUGUUAACUCUAUGGGCUCAACCUAUCGCUGCGUUCAAAACUGUUCUUCUUGAGUGCAGUAGAGGCCGGCUGCAUUCCUAGUGUAGCGGUGAAAUGCGUCGAUAUUAGGAGGAACACCAGUGGCGAAGGCGGCCUGCUGGGCUUUGCCUGACGCUGAGGCUCGAACGCGUGGGUAGCAAACAGGAUUAGAUACCCCGGUAGUC
rnacentral:rRNA from 1 species